CGGGUUGUAAAGCACUUUCAGUAGGGAGGAAGGGUAGUGUAGUUAACACCUGCACAUUUGACGUUACCUACAGAAGAAGCACCGGCUAACUCCGUGCCAGCAGCCGCGGUAAUACGGAGGGGUGCGAGCGUUAAUCGGAAUUACUGGGCGUAAAGCGCAUGCAGGCGGGCCUGUUAAGUCAGAUGUGAAAGACCCGGGGCGUUAACCUCGGAAAUUGCAUUUGUAAACUAGGCAGGCGUAGAGUCUUGUAGAGGGGGGUAGGAAGUUUCUAGGUGUAGCGGUGAAAUAGCGUAGAGAUCUGAAGGAAUACCAGUGGCGAAGGCGGCCCCCUCGGACAAAGACUGACGCUCAGAUGCGAAAGCGUGGGGAGCAAACAGGAUUAGAUACCCUGGUAG
rnacentral:rRNA from 1 species